rnacentral:lncRNA from 1 species
CUCCUCCGCCACCUCCGCCGGGAGGGCAGCUGGAGCAAGGUGGCGAUGGGGUGACAAACGGUGGUGGGUUGACAAACGGCGGAGGGUUGACGAACGGCGGCGGAUUUGUGAUCGGAGGAGGGUUGAUGAACGGAGGGUUUGUGAAUGGAGGAGGGUUGACCACCGGAGGAGGUCUGACUGGAGGGUUUGUGAUCGGAGGUAGGAUUAUGGGUGGCAUCGGUGGGCCCAUUGACGGUGGAUUAUGUCCUUUGCCUCCUGAUCCACCACCUCCAUGUCCUCCACCACCGCCACCUCCAUGUCCUCCACCACCGCCACCUCCAUGUCCUCCACCACCACCACCUCCAUGUCCUCCACCACUGCCACCUCCGCCGCCACCGCCACCAUGAUGAGGAGGCUGGGUCCACCGCCACCUCCAUGCCCACCACCACCUCCGCUGCCGCCACCACCGCCUCCACCUCCGCCUCCAUGUCCUCCACCGCCGCCGCCCCCGUGAGGAGGUGGGCCGUAGGAAGGUGGGUGAGGGUGAGUGCAAGGGGUGCAAGCAUAAAUGGGGGGUAAGGAGAUGAGCAUCAAGAGCAUGGAGAUGAAGAACAUGGCUAGUAAAGCCUUUGGAUAGCCCAUGAUGAUCAUGGGUGCAAAGUGAGUGUUAGGGUUCCUACGAUGGAAAGUGUGAUUAGGGUUUUGGCUUAUGGUGUCUAGGAAAUGAUCAGAGGUUUUUAUAUAGUUGAAGACACGUUGGGUAUAAGGCACAACCCGUGAC